rnacentral:rRNA from 1 species
UACGUAGGGUGCAAGCGUUGUCCGGAAUUAUUGGGCGUAAAGAGCUCGUAGGCGGUUUGUCGCGUCUGCUGUGAAAACUCGGGGCUUAACCCCGGGCCUGCAGUGGGUACGGGCAGACUAGAGUGCGGUAGGGGAGACCGGAAUUCCUGGUGUAGCGGUGAAAUGCGCAGAUAUCAGGAGGAACACCAAUGGCGAAGGCAGCUCGCUGGGACGGUACUGACGCUGAGGCGCGAAAGCGUGGGGAGCAAACAGG